rnacentral:lncRNA from 1 species
GGGCAGGGUGGGUUUUGUUGUCCCACCAAUUUGCUCUGCUGUCUUUGUGACAGUAAACUUUCAUAUCUCUCUUGAACCCCUACUUUGUAUUCCCAGGUGAGGCUUUCUGACAUUGGUAAGAUAUUCAUUAGGAGGGUGAAAUCAGAGCAGAAGUUGCACAGCGCCUUGGGCAGUGCCUAGGAGCCCCUCUCCAGUUCCAGCGUUUCUUCUGUUUCUUCUCAAUGUGACGAAACCUGAGCAUGAAUGGGAAGAGUUCACUCGUAAUGCGGCCAGCCCCUGUGGUGUCGAGCUGAGAAAGUCUGUGGUUGUUAUUUCCUCCUGCGGGGUGUUUGUGGAUGACCAUCACUGUCCCGAGAGCACGCAGCAGACAGCACGGUGCGUCCAGGCAGAUGGCGGGCAGCGUCUGGGCAAACGUCGUGGUGUGUCCUGCUCAUGGCCAUGCCCAGCUCAAACCAGCUCCAACCCCGGCAAUGUCAACUUCAAAGGCUUCCCCACGCUGCAGCCACACUUCUGCCUGCGGAGACAAUUUCGGAAUCUCCUGAAGGCACAAGGAUGUUGGGACGCUGCGUGGCCUUUGGUGGCUCCAAGGGGAGAGAGCAGGACUGCAGGCACUGCUGUGCUGGCAGCAAGAGGGGUGCUGAGCUUGCCCUUGUGCAUGGAAACCCUCCAGAGCUCCCCCGGCUGACAUUGGAUCAGAGACAAACAAACAAGCGCAGCCCUCCCAAGGCCGAAGGAAAGCCCCAGCUCCCCGGGGAGGCAGAGUUAAUUCCAGGAUGCUGCUGGACGAGCUCUAGUGAGGGCUUGGCUGUGGCAAAGCUCUCGUUUCCCGUCUUCGUUCUGGGCAACUUUUCUGGUAGGGGAAGUUGUCUGAGAUGCCGAUAAAGAUAAUAAUGUAUGAAGUGAUUUCUUUAAGUUCCUGAUUUAUUGAAAUGUACACUAGUGUUUCCCUGUUUAAGCAAGCAAACAGCACCAUUUAGUUGGAGAAAAUUACGUGCACGAUUGGCUAUAUGGCUUCAUUUCACUGUAUUUUGAACAGAAUAUCCUGUUUACGCAGCUAAGGAAAAGCAAAAUCCACAUCUAUGAGAACUGCUGGUGUUUCUUCCAGACCCAUGCAAACCGUUGGCCAUGUUGUAGCAGGAUGCGCUCAGGAAGGGCGGAACAAGGAGCAGACGUGGGGAAGUUUCAGCUAAUAACAUCCAUUCUCAUAUGGGAAGGAAGCAGCAGGAAAAGGUCAGUGCAGGCCAGCAGUUAUGCAUUUUGUUCAAUGGAAGAUGCACAAUGGAAGAUCUUUUCUCCCAGGCAAUUACUGUAAUUAUGUUUACAAGCCAUGUAGCAGGUUUCUGACUGAACAAGCAAUCGGCAUGGGCGAUGAGA